AACGCUGGCGGCGUGCUUAAUACAUGCAAGUUGAGCGGAGCUAAUAGUGAGUUUACUUAUUAUUAGUCGAGCAGCGGACGGGUGAGUAACGCGUGGGCAAUCUGCCCUCUAGUUUGGGAUAACAGUUCGAAAGGACUGCUAACACCGAAUAAUCUUAAAUUUGGGCAUCUAAAUUUAAGGAAAGUUAACGCUAGAGGAUGAGCCCGCGUCCCAUUAGCUAGUUGGUGAGGUAACGGCCCACCAAGGCAACGAUGGGUAGCCGACCUGAGAGGGUGACCGGCCACACUGGGACUGAGACACGGCCCAGACUCCUACGGGAGGCAGCAGUAGGGAAUUUUCCGCAAUGGAACGAAAGUCUGACGGAGCAACGCCGCGUGAGGGAUGAAGGUUUUCGGAUCGUAAACCUCUGUCCUUGGGGAAGAUAAUGACGGUACCCAAGGAGGAAGCCACGGCUAACUACGUGCCAGCAGCGGC
rnacentral:rRNA from 1 species